UUUUGGUGGUGGUUGUUGUUGUUGUUUUGCCUGCUGUUGACCGGCUGAUUGGUUUUGACAAAAGUUGCACAAAAUAUCAGUGCCUCCCAGAAACAAGACUCAGAUGAGACUGUUCUUCAGAAGUUAACUGGAGGAAAACACCUUAGGAAUCUCGACCAUUUGCUUCUUCUUCUUUUUUUUUUUUUUUUUUUUAAUGUUUCCAAAGAAAUGCAAGCUUCCCUUCUUCUCUAGAGAAAAAGUACUCAUUGCUCUUCUCUGCACUAGACAUUUCUAAUUUGUUCUGUCUGUCAGAACGGGACUAUGAGAGGUUUUGGUGCAAAUUCAUUAUCUCUGGCAAUGCAUAACGUAUAGUAGGAACUGAAAAAAACCGUGGCAAUGGAUGAAGAACAAUAGAGCUUCAGUUAAUCAGCAACAAAAGCGUUGGGGAAAUUGGUUCAAUUUCAGAGCACGUCCUCCUCAGCAGAGAGGCUGGACUAGACCUUGGCCAAACCCCCAAAAUCUUGCAGAACCUCACAUACAACAGUUCACUUUCUACUCCAGGGUGUGGGCAAAAGUGUGGAAAAAGAAAAAAAAAAUGGCAAACCCAAGCCAACUUUCUCCAUUUCUCCCCCGUUUUCAUGGAUGGAAGAUUUUAAACUAUUUUAGAGUCGUUGGAGCAAGAACAACACCAUGGAUCUAAGGGAUACUUUUAAAUAGAGAUGGAGAGGGGAAACACUUGAAUUUCUGGAGACCUGAAAGAGCUUUUUCUGCUCCUAGGGGCCUUGGCUGUGGGAAUCUUUGUUUGCCACCAGAGGGUCAGCUCACCCCCCUACAUGUGGGGUAAAAAUCACUCCCUGAUAAAGGCGAAGAUAUAGUGUGGCUACUGACCCAUCUUCCUGAGGAGAAUGGCUGAGAUGUCUUUGAAAUUAUUCCUGGAAUUCGACCAGCAUGAGAUCUCUACCAAACUGAGGAGUGACUGCAGCUGUCUGUGACUGCUCUUGCAGGACAGCUGGAGCCUGGAUGGUUACAAUGUAUGUGGGUUCCACUGCUGCACCAUCACCCUCUUUGAGGCAAGGGGAGGAUUUCCCACCACCUGCUGAAGUCACAUCUCACCUAUUUCCUUCAGCAGAACCCCCACCCAAUCCAGGUGUAUAAAGAGGUUUUACAGCGACUUCUGUGAGCCAGAAAGAAGUUUGGUAAGAGGAUCCAUGUUUAUCCAUGAAAGAAUUUCCUACCAAUGUUGUUGACAUAGAAACCAAGAAAGAAGGGUAAAUUAGAGAAACCUGCAAUUGUCUAUUCCAAUAAGCACUUUGUCUCUUCUGACCAGUGAGUAAAGUGUAAACUUAGGAGUUUUUUUAAGAAUGUAUAAAAAGCAUGCAUGCUAGAACAAAAACGGGUUUGAAGCCUUCUGAAAAUGGAGUAUUGCUUUAUAUUGUCUCCAUUUCAACUAUGACUGUCUCAACUACAACAAAUGGUGACAGCCAAAGUGAUGGGGGAGCAGCUGAGAAGGGCUGCCGGCAGCUGGGAGAGCUGCAACAUUUGGGUUGUGGGGUGAGGCAUGGCCCGACACAGGGCCCCAGUGUAGCUUUUGAGAGCAGCAGAAAGAUGCUGUCAGUCUGGAUGACAUUGAUUUUGACACCUGGAAUGCAGGUAAGCCACUGGGAACAAUGGGGAGUUCCAGUAAAGCGUAAAGCAACAUGGGGAGCUGCUGUAGGUCCAGACUGAUCUUUCAUACUUUCAUGUAAUAAAAGUGAGCCACUGGGGAACAUAAUGGAGAAUCAGUUAAUAAGGGAAGACAAACUGCUUCAAAGUUUUGCUGAAGAAGAAGGAUUUUCAAGCUUUUAAUCGUGCCCUUCAUGGUGUGUUGUUGUGGAAAAAUCAUAGGACUUUGAAACUGAUCCUAGUGUUGCCUUUAAUAUUAAGUGUUAGAAUAUGGAAGACAGAACAAGAAAUGGGAGUUAAUGGGGAACAGCAGAAAGAUGGGAUUCAGCUUGAGAAUGUGUUUUUCCCGGAGGAGUCAGAUGGAGUUGCUUUUGUGGGGAUUUUUCUGGGGUCUGCUAUCAUGGGAGACAGGUGGUGCUCCUUGGUAUGUCUCUAAAGGACUGUAUUAAGCCUGUGUGGCUUUCUUUGGCACAACAGUUAAUCAAACUGAAUGCUAAGUUAAAAUAUGUUAUUUCUGCUGAAAUGCAUUCACAGUAGAGACAAAUUGAAGAACAAGCUGAGAUGAUUGUCCCCCCACUCCCCGCCGAACUGAGCAGAAGAAUGAACUCAUUAAAUCUGUAAUUUGUCGUUGCCUGAAAUGACAGUGAUAAGAUUUCCUGGAGGAGCCUCUACCCUUCCCUCUUCCCACCCUGCGACGAGCGGCUGCUGGCACCCAGGAGAGGGUGCUGCGGGUGUGAGGGAGAGUUGCCACUGUUUGGGACCCCCUUGAACCCCCAGGACCUCUCCCCCAUCCUUACUGCCCUUCUGGACACUGUGCAAAGGGGGCGGGAGCUGCAUCCCGAUGGAGGGGGCCAUGUCUGCUGCAGUUGGAGGAAGUCCGUGGGGAGGGCUCAGAUCUCUCAAAAGUGUUGGGAGCUGCUCAGAGCUCUGUGUUGCUGGUCCACGUAGAAGAACCUGGACCAAAGAGGUCUUUGAUCUACAGGGCUACCUCAAGUAUUUAGGACUCAAAAAGUGACAGAUCAAUGCCUGGAAAAGGAAUGCAUUAUUACAGCCAAGGGACAUUAUCCAGAUACCACAAUAAUAACAGG